rnacentral:lncRNA from 10 species
GAUAUCAUUAAGGACACAAAAUAAGGAUGGAGAAUUUGAGUGAAUAUUCUAGUCCCAGCUCUUCCUUGAAUUUGCCUUGUAAGUUUAGUUUCCUUAUUUGUAAAAUGAAAUAUUGAACUACAUGGCAUCUGCUACGGUCUGAGUGUUUUUGUCUCUGCCCCCUGCAAAUUCAUGUGUUGACACUUAAUCCCUAAUGCAGUAGCAUUAAGGGGUGGGGUCUUCAGAAGGUGAUUAGAUCACGAUGGCUCCACCCUCAUGAAUGAGAUUAGGACCCUUAUAAAAGAGGCCUGAGAGGACGCCGCUUUUUAAGCCCUCCCGAUGUGUGAGGACACACAGGAGCCACCACCCAGAGGAACAGGCCUUUAGCGGACACUGAAUCUGCUGGUGCCUUCAUCUUGGAAUUUCCAGACUCCAGAACUCUGCAGUUACCAUCCUCAAAUACAAAAGUAAUUGAUACUCAGCAAUGAAAGCUGCAUGUGCAUGUAGGGGAGAGAAGGAGGUUUCACCAGACUGACAAAUGGAGUCAUGGUUCUGGGAAGGAGCAGGGUGUUGGGUGCACAUUUGUCACCUGGGAAUACUACCAGCAAGCCUCAUAUUUUUUCUGCAAUAAAUGCUGGAAAGGAAAAAGAAAUGCUGAAAAUGAUGAAGUAAUUCCAAUUCUGCUGAUAGAGACCUGGAAAUGCACUAGGGAAAAAUGACAAGAGUGUAACACACUGCUGCUGAUUAUGUCAUAAUGAUUAUUUUAUGCAGUUUGAAGAAGACUCACUGUUCUAAAGAACCAGCAUCCAUUUCCAGGAAAGAGCAGGGAUUCUCCAUCCAUACCUCCAUGGGAUGAACCACAUUGAAAAUAAUGAUUUCCUUCUAAUAGCUUACUCUACAUUAUAUAAAGAAUUCCUUGGGAUUCUAAAAAAACCCUAAUAAUAUAGUAAUAAUAACAACAGAGGUUUGUUUUUGCUAUUUGUAGUCUAAUAUUCAGAUUGUGAGCAGCUGUUUUGGAAGGCAAGAUGAGUGAAUAGAUGUGAAGUCGUCUUAGAAAUGUCCAGGCUUCCAAAAGAAAUUUCACUUUUAAAAGAAAAUAGCCUAAUGUGAACCACAUUAGAAUCAGCACAUCUAAUCCUACGGAGAAAAAGUGACCAUGGCUGUCUACACAUAUAGGCAGGUCAUUCAAGCUCAUUCAAAAAUUCCACUUUCACUGGUGGUCUGUCUGUGUCCACAUGGUGACAAAUGGCCCCGGCAGGGUUUUUGAGGUGUUGGCACCACCAGUGAGUGCCAGAUGGAAUGUGGUGAAAGUUCUGAUUUGUACCUUUCAGACUAAAGGUACUUUCCAGAAUGGACGGGUCCUUCUGGCUGCCUUUUGUAAGUGCAGCCACAGGUAUUCUGUUGAAGCCUGUGGGUGAGAAAGACAUAAACAGGUGCUAUAAAUUUGUCAGACCAGGAAGCCACAGGCCGUUUAGUAAAUGGUAAACCCAAUGGCCCAAAAGAACAAAGGGGUCUCUUUUCAUCAGAAUGAUCAGGCUCAUUCAACAAAUAUUUAUUGAGCACCCACUUUCUGCCAGAUGGAAGAGCCACUGACAAGGCCUCUUAUUUAAAGAGUGCCUGAAGUGAGGAAGCAAACCCCCAAAUCAUCUGGGAUGGUAUGAACUGAACUCUGGACCGCAACAUGAUGGAAAGGAGGAGCUGGGGUCCCAAGGGCAGUCCAGACAACCUGAACCUGUGACACUCACCCUGCCCACACACUCUCAGAGCUGCAGCUUUCACGGGGGUGACAUGAAUGCUUGUAAAUGAGCUUGCUGAAUGGGAGACCAAGAACGAUGAUAUUGAGCUGUUACUACAUGCCAGACAUUUAACCCUUUCAUCCAGGUUAUCUCAAUCAUUCCUUACAGAAAGGCUUUUGAGAUGUCCUUGCAACUGGAGGUGCCAUAUGAUACAGUUCUGCCCAAAGACAAGAAAGUGAAUGUCUGUUGAGGGCUUCCUAUAAGGCCAAUACAUACAGGUGUUCCCAACAACAGGACACAGCAAGAAGAUGGCUGUCUAUGAACCUGAAUAUGUCUAGCCCUCACCAGACACUGAAUCUGAGAGAACCUUGAUCUUGGAUUUCCAGCCUCCAGAGUUGUGAGAGCUAAAUUUCUGUUGUUUGUAAACCACCCAGUCUAUGGUAUUCUGUUACAGCAGCCUGAACAGGCUAAUAUAAAGACAAUAAGGAGAAUUUGCUAGCAAGAUGGAAGCCACAAUCUUUUGUAACCUAAUCACAGAAGUGACAGCCUAUCACUUUUGCCUUAUUGUGUUUAUUAGAAGCAAGUCACUAGGUCUAGCCUACCCUCAGGGGAAAGAAAUUCCACCAGGGCACAAAUGCCAGGAGAUGGGUAUCAGUGGAGACCAUCUGAGAAGUCUGCCUACUAAGGCUUUCCAUGUCUACCUCCGAACAAGGGAAUCUAUCAUGAUUAUUGCAUGUGCCCUGAGCACUGGGUUUAGAUGACAUUAAGCAGAAUCAAGGUAAUUGUUCAGGAAACCUUCAGCGGGAGAGUCUGCCCUGUGUCUAGUUUCUCUUUUGCUUCAGAAAAUACUUACUUGAAUUGUUUCUAACUUAAUAAUACUUUGUGUUACCUGAGGGUCUCUAAAGGCUUGGUAAGCAUCAGAACAAAAAAUUUCUUCUCCACUUUCUAGGAGUUCUUAGAUCAUUAUUUUGCUGGUACAGUAACUGGCUCUCCUAAUCCACUGUGAAGCUUGCUUAUUUACUGUGCGGAUGGUUUGGACCAUCAAAAGUGUAGAGUUAAAAUAACCAGGGGAGAGAAUAUUAGACCCAGAAUCAAAGUAGCCUAAAGUUACCUCUUUAGGUACCUUGUUUCUCCCAUGUGCAAACUGUAAGCUCAAGUGUCUUUUCUCAGGUGGUCACAAUGUAGUUUGAGACUAGAGGGAUUGUGGAUGAAGAUGCUCUGAGUUAUUUAGAAGAGAUGCACUACAUC